rnacentral:lncRNA from 1 species
GUACUACUAUCAGUAGGUGGAGCGUUUAGAAGGGUAGUUUGGUCGACGAGUGAACUUUGGAAUUUACUUCUACGUCAGUCUUCACUGAUUCUUUCUCUAAACUAUUAGCACUGAUAAUCUGCCCUAUAAUUUCACACUUAAUUACAUUCCAGUGUAGUAUUUGCUGUUGCUUCAUUCGCGUUAGUCACAUAUUCCCCUGCAGCGCCAAACACGCUUUUGAACUCACAAUGGGUGGCUCAAUAUUUGGAGACUUAGAUAUUUGUUAGAUGAAUACUAGGCUGAUUGGAUGAGAGGAAAAGGAGAGGCAUGAGUGAAUUGGCCCUGGGUACUUUUUUGACAUAGUCUCAAAGGGUUCAGAUAAAGACCUCCAGCAGAUCUGAGCACACAAUUCCUUCAGUAAACAUUGAACACCUGCCGUUUGGUCAAGCAUUUCUAGGCACUGGAGAUUCAAAGUAUUCACAUAUUCCUUUUCUUUAUAAGACUAGCAAGAUUCUGAAGAUUCAUGUACUCAUUCACUCAACAAAUAUUUGCCAAUCACUACUAAGGUUGCCAGACACUAUUUUAGUGCUUGGGAUGUAUCAGUAAACAGAAGAGAGAGAGAAAACAAAUACCCUUCCCUGUUGGAGCUUUCAUUCUAAUAUAAGGAGAAAGAUGAUAAAUGUAAGAGAAUUAUGUAAUAUGUUAGAAGGCAUAUGGGGAAAAAAAAAUACACCAGGGUAAGGGGUAUGAGGAAAACUGGAGGAAGGGGGUUUGCAAUUUUUUUUUAAGAGGGAAUCCUGCUCUCCCGCCCAGGCUGGAGUGCAGUGGCGCGAUCUCAGCUCACUGCAACUCCCGGGUUCAAGUG